CCCUAGCCCUGAUGGUCCCGAAGCUUCGGGAGUCAUGCUUUUUCUGGCUUCUUUAGCCAGGAAAAGAUAUAGCGGACAGCAGGAAACAGC
rnacentral:sRNA from 1 species